GUCUGCUACAGACUGCCCGUAGCUCAGCUUUGGGAGUUGCUUUCGCACAAAAGCACCAUCUUACAGCAAUUCCUCGAACGAGUUCCACCUAUCGACAGUAGAUGGCAGGAGAGUACGGACGGAGGUCGUCGAUAGACGAUAGCGUAUUGAGCAGUGAGCACAGAAGCCGGCUGCUGGUUUGUGACAAGAAGUGGUAAAUGCUGCACAUAGCCAAGUUUCUACCGUAUUUUACCGUAGUCAUUAAAAUUAAGUACGGUACACACAAGUCGCAGGUAUAAGCUUGCGAAAACUGCUCGGCAGUCACUGGUGUGAAUAUUACCAGACUAUCAGCUUAUAAUGGGAAUACUAACAGGUAUUCCUUACAGAAGUAUAGAAAACUGGUAGAAGCUGAACUUGGAGAAGAUCAGUUUGGAUUUCGAAGGAAUGUUAAACACAUGAGGCAACACUGACCCUAAGACUUGUCUUAAAAGGAACCACUGAAAAAUGGCAGGAGCUGAAGCACUUCCAAACAUCAGUCAUUGAAACUAGAACAAACACUGUUGAGUGUUGAUCACAGAAUAUUGUCUGGACUGCUCAUCCAGCAGCAACUCUGCUGCCGAUGUGGGAACAUGCUGCUGAAAUUGAAAUUCAUAUGAUGAAACUCAAUGUGCCCUUAUCUCACAUCAUGAGAUUCUGUGAGCUGUGGAUAAAGGGCAACAGGUGGAGUCCAUAUUCCUAGAUAUCUGAAAAGCAUUUGACAAAGUACCACAUUGCUCACUGUUAACAAAGGUACAAGCAUACAGACUAUGUUACCAGAUAUGUGAGUGGCUCAAAGACUUCUUAAAUAACAGAACCCCGUAGGUUGUUCUUAAAGGCAAGUGUUCGUCAGAGACAAGGGUAUCGACAGGAGUGUACCAGGGAAGUGUGAUAUGACCACUGUUAUUUUAGAUAUACAUAAAUUAUCUGGUAGACAGGGCAUGCAGCAGUCUGUGGCUGUUUGCUGAUGAUGCAUUGAGAGGAUGUUAUACUCUAAUCUCCUUUUCUUUCUUCAUUGUAUUAACACUGAUCUAAGUAAUAAAUCCAAAGUGCAUAUUAACAGGAAUAAAAGCGAAGGAAGGAAGUGGUCAGUGUAUAUAAAAAGAAGAUGCCAUGAAUUAAAGAAUGCAGACUUCUAGUUUCAAAUAGUUGUGAAUUUUUUAACAUCAUAUGGGACAAUUAAAACUGACACAAAAAGCAGAAUAGCUCAAAACAAGAAAACAUUUUCAAAAGAAAAAUCUAUCAAGAGUACUGAGAAAUAUUUGUUCCAGAACGAGAAAAAGCCUUUAAGAUUCCUGAAUGAAAAAAAUGUCCUAUAAAGGCACUCAGAGCUGAAGCUCGACCAGUAGAAUGCUCAUGUGAACUGAUCCCUCCAAGCACAGGUUUGAUGAGAGUGCUAACCUCACUCAACAGUUACAGUUUUGAGUUCCAGACCUGGCCAGAUACACAGUUUAAAUUUAUCAAAAAUUUUACUACAUUGUGUACUUUCCUAUGUAAUAUCUCUUCUCUACACCUCUUAAGUGCAGUAUUAUAAUCUCCACAGUAAGAAUUAUGAAUGGUUUCCUUUUGAUGAUGUGAGGCUACACUAGCCUAAUAAUUAUCUUAUGCAGACUAGUGUGAAU